rnacentral:tRNA from 1 species
GUCCCUGUAGCGCAAUGGAUAACGCCCUGGACUUUUAAUCCAAAGGGUGUGGGUUCGAGUCCUACCUGGGAUG